rnacentral:rRNA from 1 species
UUUAGAGGAAGUAAAAGUCGUAACAAGGUCUCCGUAGGUGAACCUGCGGAGGGAUCAUUACACAAAUAUGAAGGCGGGCUGGAACCUCUCGGGGUUACAGCCUUGCUGAAUUAUUCACCCUUGUCUUUUGCGUACUUCUUGUUUCCUUGGUGGGUUCGCCCACCACUAGGACAAACAUAAACCUUUUGUAAUUGCAAUCAGCGUCAGUAACAAAUUAAUAAUUACAACUUUCAACAACGGAUCUCUUGGUUCUGGCAUCGAUGAAGAACGCAGCGAAAUGCGAUACGUAGUGUGAAUUGCAGAAUUCAGUGAAUCAUCGAAUCUUUGAACGCACAUUGCGCCCUUUGGUAUUCCAAAGGGCAUGCCUGUUCGAGCGUCAUUUGUACCCUCAAGCUUUGCUUGGUGUUGGGCGUUUUUUGUCUUUGGUUGCCAAAGACUCGCCUUAAAAGGAUUGGCAGCCGGCCUACUGGUUUCGCAGCGCAGCACAUUUUUGCGCUUGCAAUCAGCAAAAGAGGACGGCAAUCCAUCAAGACUCCUUCUCACGUUUGACCUCGGAUCAGGUAGGGAUACCCGCUGAACUUAAGCAUAUCAAUAAG